rnacentral:sRNA from 1 species
AGCCGCGGCCCCCGCAAGCCCAGGUAGGCGGGAGUGGCCCGUGGCUGCUCUCAACAUCCGGAGCGGACUCCGGGCGGGGAGGGCUCCUGCCCAGGGCUGCAAGCCGCCCUCGACCCAGGGCGCUCGGGGCAGGGGCGGGGAAAGAAGGGGCGCCCCGUCACUUGCCCCCUCUGCAGACCAAGGCCGCGUCCCAGAUCUUGGAGAACGGGGAGGAGGCCCCGGGGCCCGACCCCUCACUCGACCGCAUGCUCAGCAGCAGCUCCUCCGUGUCCAGCCUUAACUCCUCCACGCUGAGCGGCAGCCAGAUGAGCCUGUCAGGCGAGGCGGAGGCGGUGCAGGUCCGCGGCUCCGUGCACUUCGCGCUGCACUACGAGCCGGGCGCCGCCGAGCUGCGCGUGCACGUGAUCCAGUGCCAGGGCCUGGCCGCCGCCCGGCGCCGCCGCUCGGACCCCUACGUCAAAAGCUACCUCCUCCCGGAUAAGCAGAGCAAGCGCAAGACGGCGGUGAAGAAACGGAAUCUGAAUCCGGUUUUCAACGAGACUCUCCGGUACUCCGUCCCUCAGGCCGAGCUCCAGGGCCGCGUGCUGAGCCUGUCCGUGUGGCACCGCGAAAGCCUGGGUCGCAACAUCUUUCUGGGCGAAGUUGAAGUGCCCCUGGACACGUGGGACUGGGGCUCUGAGCCCACCUGGCUCCCCCUGCAGCCCCGGGUCCCACCCUCUCCCGACGACCUUCCGAGCCGCGGGUUACUCGCCCUGUCCAUCAAGUACGUCCCCGCCGGCUCCGAGGGCGCAGGACUGCCCCCGAGCGGGGAGCUGCACUUCUGGGUGAAAGAGGCUCGGGACCUCCUGCCGCUGCGGGCAGGAUCCCUGGACACUU